UCCCAGCCACAAAAAAAUUGUUAAUUUUCACGAAGAAACCAGAUAGGACAUAUUGAACAUUGUUACAUAGGCGAUUUUCAAUGAAUCAAAAUGUUACAAAUAUUUCCUAGAAUCGAUCUCAGAAAUUAUUCCAAAGUAUCUGUAUACAAGUAUCGUAUUAAAGACAAAGAAAAACAAUGAAGUUAUUUAAACGAGAGAUUCAAACUUCCCAUAAAAAAAAAAAAAAAAAAAAAAAGAAAAAAAAAGGAAAAGAUUCUCUCAUUAUUAUCACAUGCAAUAUGUUACUACCGUUUUUAUGAUUCAGUCAACCAAUAUAUCUACUAUAUAUACUUUCAUUCAUAAAUACGUGAUGACAUUGUAACGUAAUGACAUAGUAAACAAUGGCUGAAAAGUGUUGAUUUGAUAAAAACAAGAAUCAAUUAAUAUAUAUAAAAAAAAGAAAGAAGAAGUAAGAAUAAGAGUCAAUUGAUUCUACGAGACAACUUUGUACGUUUUUGACCUAGCAGAUGCAAAUAUGUAAUAUCUUCCUUUUUUCUUUUCACUUUCUCUCUCUCUCUCUCUCUCUCUCUCUCUCUCUCUCUAUCUCUAUCUCUCUCCGUCUUUCUAUUUGUCUGUCUCUCUUUAUCUUAAAAGAGAUCCGCCGAGAGGUCCCGCGUGAGUAUUCUCGGCGUUGAAAGCAGUACGCAUGCGUCUGUAAAACCGUUUCGACCGCACCGCUCGAGAUGCGGAUAAAGCGGUGCAUCGCGUCUGGGUUGACUUCAGGACCACACGACUAGAGCUGCCUAGGUGUUGUAUAUAAACUGUUAACUCGUCGAUGAGGAAGGCAAUUAAUAGAAGAAAAAAGCAAAGCGUUAAGAGAAAAAGGAGAGAAAAAGAAAAACGGGAUUGGCAAAUGAAUAACGACAAGGAGGAGGAAAUACUUGGAAUUCUUUCAGUCUUUAUUUGACCAAAAGAAAAGUAAGAAAAAUCUGUUAAGAGAAAUAGAAGAAAAAUAAUAACAAACAUAUCGAAGAAGUUUAUAGUGUUUCUUCUUAUUUUGUGUGAGAAAAAUUAUUUAUUGUAUUGGACACGAUUGUUUUAUUCUUGAGAAGAGUAAAAGAAAUAUUUAGGGGAUGAGCUGAUAUAAUUCUGUUCGGAUUUUAAGAGAGAGAGAGAGAGAGAGAGAGAGAGAGAGAGAGAGAGA